CCGCGUGAGUGAUGAAGGCCUUCGGGUUGUAAACCUCUUUUGUCCGGAACGAAAAUGACUNGACCGGGAUAAUAGGCUCCUGAUAUCUCCGUGACAGUACCCCCCGGCUUACUACAUGCCCGCCGCCG
rnacentral:rRNA from 1 species